AUACGGAGGGUGCAAGCGUUACUGGGAAUCACUGGGCGUAAAGCGCGCGCAGGCGGCUAUUUAAGUUGGAUGUGAAAGCCUACGGCUCAACCGUAGAACUGCAUCCAAAACUAUUUAGCUAGAGUGUGGGAGAGGAAGAUGGAAUUAGUUGUGUAGGGGUAAAAUCCGUAGAGAUAACUAGGAAUACCAAAAGCGAAGGCAAUCUUCUGGAACACUACUGACGCUGAGGCGCGAAAGCGUGGGGAGCAAACGGGAUUAGAAACCCUAGUAGUCC
rnacentral:rRNA from 1 species